AACAGAUCUGGUGAAUAUACCUAUGCUGCAUAUGUGACAUUCAGAGAUGCUUAUACUCUUGAAACUGCUGUUUUAUUCAGUAUGCUCGAAACUACAGGAUCUGAGAUAUGGUGACAUCUUUGUAACGGCAAUUGGUAGCGGAGGCACCAUCUCUGGGGUUGGACAGUAUCUCAAAUCUCAAAACCCUGAUUGUAAGGUAAAAAUCUCUCAAGUUACAAUAUCCAUAUAUUCAUCAAUUCAUCUAUUCAUCUUUUUUGUGAUGGAACUCUUUAUCUUCUAUUUUAUUUCUUUUAUCAUAAUGUUCAAUCUGCUUCUGUCAUGAUAGAUAUACGGAGUGGAGCCUGCUGAAAGUAAUAAUAUACUAAAUGGCGGUAAACCAGGUCUUCAUUCGAUUA